UGGGGAAUAUUGCACAAUGGGGGAAACCCUGAUGCAGCAACGCCGCGUGAAGGAUGAAGGUUUUCGGAUCGUAAACUUCUAUCAACAGGGACGAAACAAAUGACGGUACCUGAAUAAGAAGCCCCGGCUAACUACGUGCCAGCAGCCGCGGUAAUACGUAGGGGGCAAGCGUUAUCCGGAAUUACUGGGUGUAAAGGGAGCGUAGGCGGCACGCCAAGCCAGAUGUGAAAGCCCGGGGCUUAACCCCGUGGAUUGCAUUUGGAACUGGCGAGCUAGAGUACAGGAGAGGAAAGCGGAAUUCCUAGUGUAGCGGUGAAAUGCGUAGAUAUUAGGAAGAACACCAGUGGCGAAGGCGGCUUUCUGGACUGAAACUGACGCUGAGGCUCGAAAGCGUGGGGAGCAAACAGGAUUAGAUACC
rnacentral:rRNA from 1 species